rnacentral:misc_RNA from 1 species
GAAAUGCGAUAAGUAAUGUGAAUUGCAGAAUUCAGUGAAUCAUCGAAUCUUUGAACGCACCUUGCGCUCCUUGGUAUUCCGAGGAGCAUGCCUGUUUGAGUGUCAUGGAAUUCUCAACUCUAUUUGCUUUUGUGAAUAGAGCUUGGAUUUGGAGGUUUAUUGCUGGUACUUGUGAUCGGCUCCUCUUGAAUGCAUUAGCUCGAACCUUUGCGGAUCAGCUAUCGGUGUGAUAAUUGUCUACGCCGUUGCAGUGAAGCAUAUCAAUGGGCUCGGCUUCCAAUCGUCCUUUUCUGGACAAUGACUUUGACCUUUGACCUCAAAUCAGGUAGGAUUACCCGCUGAACUUAAGC